GAUGAACGCUGGCGGCGUGCCUAAUACAUGCAAGUCGAGCGAACAGAUGAGGAGCUUGCUCCUCUGACGUUAGCGGCGGACGGGUGAGUAACACGUGGAUAACCUACCUAUAAGACUGGGAUAACUUCGGGAAACCGGAGCUAAUACCGGAAAAUAUAUUGAACCGCAUGGUUCAAUAGUGAAAGACGGUUUUGCUGUCACUUAUAGCUGGAUCCGCGCCGCAUGAGCUAGUUGGUAAGGUAACGGCUUACCAAGGCAACGAUGCGUAGCCGACCUGAGAGGGUGAUCGGCCACACUGGAAGUGAGACACGGUCCAGACUCCUACGGGAGGCAGCAGUAGGGAAUCUUCCGCAAUGGGCGAAAGCCUGACGGAGCAACGCCGCGUGAGUGAUGAAGGUCUUCGGAUCGUAAAACUCUGUUAUUAGGGAAGAACAAAUGUGUAAGUAACUAUGCACGUCUUGACGGUACCUAAUCAGAAAGCCACGGCUAACUACGUG
rnacentral:rRNA from 1 species